GCCCGCCUAGCUCAAUCGGAUAGAGCGUCAGACUUUUAAGUGCGGGUGUACUAAGUGAUCUGAAGGCUGCGAGUUCGACCCUCGCGGUGGGCU